rnacentral:lncRNA from 1 species
AUCCCAGCUGUUCAGGAGGUUGAGGCAUGAGAAUCACUUGAACCCAGGAGGCAGGGGUUGCAGUGAGCCAAGAUCGCGCCACUGCACUCCAGCCUGGGUGACAGGGAGACCCUUUUUCAAAAAAAAAAAAAAAAAAAAAAAAAGAUAAGCAAAAUGUGGCACACACAUGCAAGGGAACAUCCCUCAGUCAUACAAAGGAAGGAAAUGCUGACAUAUGGUACCACGUGCCGCACGUGGGCUAUGACACCGGACCCUCGCCAAACCUUACAGGCCAGCCUCGGGGUGGUGCUGUAUCAGUGAAGACGCUCAGGUCGAGGUUGGCAAGCUGGGCUUUGGAGAGCAGGGAGUCCGGUGCUCCAGUGCCCGACUCCAGAGCCUUAAUUAGCCACCAUUCGGCACAGUUUCUCUCUGGGACAUCAGCACCCUGCCACUCUCUUUUAAUGGUGUUUCUGACACCUUCCUAAAAUGACAGAGGCACCCAGAACCUGAGCAACACUGCACACCGGCUGGCCAGCAGAGAGUGCAGUGUGACGGCUUCCCUCCUUGCUGUAGGACAGGGGUUGGAAAACUGCUGCGCCAGCCUGUCACCUGUGUUUGUGCAGCCCUCGAGCUAAGAAUAGUUUUUACAGUUUUAUUUAUUUCAUUUAAUUUUUUUUAGGAGAAGGGAACUUACUCUGUUGCCCAGGCUGGAGUACAGUGGCAUGAUCACAGCUCACUGCAGCCUUGAACUCCUGGGCUCAAGUGAUCCGUCUGCCUCAGCCUCCCAAGUAGCUGGAACUACAUGUGUGUGCCACCCCCCCCCCCCGGCUAAUUUUAUAAUUUUUUGUAGAGACAGAAUCUUGUUAUGUUGCCCAGGCUGGUCUCAGACUCUUGGCCUUACACUGUCCUCUUGCCUCAGCCUCCCAUAGUGCUGGGAUUACAGGUGUGAACCACUGUGCCCAGUCCAAUUUUUACAGUUUUAAACGAAAGAAAACCAAAAGAAGAAUAACAUUUCAUAACACACAAAAUUUAUAUAAAGUUCCAAUCUCAGCAUCCAUAAAUAAAGUUUUAUUGGCAGGUAGCCAAGCUAUCUUGUUAUCUUAGUGAGCUUGGGGCUGCCAUAAUGAAAUACCACAACCUGGGUGGCUUAAACAACAGACAUUUCUGUCUCACGGUGCUGGAGGCUGGUAAAUCCAACAUCAGGGUCCUGGCUGAUUUGGUUCCCGGUGAGGGCUCUCUCUUGCAGACAGAAUUCCUUCCUGCUGGGUCCACACGGGGUAGGGAGGGAGCUCUGGCCUUUUCCUCUUCUUACCAAGGCACUAGUCCUGUCGUGAGGCCUCUAUCCCAAAAUAAAAAAAAUUAGCUGGGCGUUGUGGUGCAUACCUGUGGUCCCAGCUACUUGGGAUGCUGAGGUUGGAGGAUCGCUUGAGCGAUCCCAGGAGGCCCAGGCUGCAGUGAGCCACGAUCACUCCGCUGCACUCCAGCCUGGGCAACAGAGCGAGACCUGAGCUUAUCUAAACCUUGUCACCCCCAGAGCCCCACCUCUUAAUACCAUCACAUUGAGGAUUAGGGCUAUCCAUCUUGGGGGACAGAAACAUUCAGUACACAGCACCUAUUUACAUAUUGCCCGGGGCUGCUUUCACGCUACUAUGGCAGACCUGAGUAGUUGCAAUAGAGACUGAAUUUCCUGCAAGCUGAAAACAUCGACUAUCUGGUCCUCUAUGAAAACAUUUGCCUGGCUGGGCGCAGUGGCUCAUGCUUGUAAUCCCAGCACUUUGGGAUUGGGAGGCUGUGGUGGGAGGAUUGCUUGAGCUGAGUUCAAAACCAGCCUGGGCAACACAGUGAGACACCUUUUCUACAAAAUUACAAAAAAAAUUAGUUGGGUGUGGUUUACAGCUAUGGGAUUACAGGUGGGUGCC